rnacentral:tRNA from 1 species
GUGCCUUUAGCUCAGCUGGAUAGAGCAACUGCCUUCUAAGCAGUAGGUCGUGGGUUCGAGUCCCCCAAGGCACGCCA